AGUAAAAGUCGUAACAAGGUCUCCGUAGGUGAACCUGCGGAGGGAUCAUUACAAGUGACCCCGGUUUACCACCGGGAUGUUCAUAACCCUUUGUUGUCCGACUCUGUUGCCUCCGGGGCGACCCUGCCUUCGGGCGGGGGCUCCGGGUGGACACUUCAAACUCUUGCGUAACUUUGCAGUCUGAGUAAACUUAAUUAAUAAAUUAAAACUUUUAACAACGGAUCUCUUGGUUCUGGCAUCGAUGAAGAACGCAGCGAAAUGCGAUAAGUAAUGUGAAUUGCAGAAUUCAGUGAAUCAUCGAAUCUUUGAACGUACAUUGCGCCCCCUGGUAUUCCGGGGGGCAUGCCUGUUCGAGCGUCAUUUCACCACUCAAGCCUCGCUUGGUAUUGGGCAACGCGGUCCGCCGCGUGCCUCAAAUCGACCGGCUGGGUCUUCUGUCCCCUAAGCGUUGUGGAAACUAUUCGCUAAAGGGUGUUCGGGAGGCUACGCCGUAAAACAACCCCAUUUCUAAGGUUGACCUCGGAUCAGGUAGGGAUACCCGCUGAACUUAAGCAUAUCAAUAAGCGGAGGAAAAGAAACCAACAGGGAUUGCCCCAGUAACG
rnacentral:rRNA from 1 species